UACGUAGGGGGCAAGCGUUGUCCGGAAUCACUGGGCGUAAAGCGCGUGUAGGCGGCCAGGUAAGUCCGUUCUGAAAGCCCGGGGCUCAACCCCGGGAGGCGGAUGGAUACUGCUUGGCUCGAGUCCGGAAGAGGCGAGUGGAAUUCCCGGUGUAGCGGUGAAAUGCGCAGAUAUCGGGAGGAACACCAAUGGCGAAGGCAGCUCGCUGGGACGGUACUGACGCUGAGACGCGAAAGCGUGGGGAGCAAACAGG
rnacentral:rRNA from 1 species